UUCUUCAAUAUUAAAUUCUUCUUUUUCGAUCGGCUAAAUAAUAGUCUUCUUUUUUAUUAAACAUCAAAUAGUCUUCUUUUGAAAUAAAAUACUGGUUAGAUGUUCAUCUGUCAAAUAUUAAUUAACCUCAAUGGAAUAAUAAACUAAAUAUAAAGGAAAUUAUUUCAAAUAUUAAGAUUUGCAGGCGAGAAUUCAAUAUUUUGGAGCUAUCUCCAUUAAAUAUGUUUAAUUUUCGAAUAGAACAAGAUUAUAUUAAGGUUAGGUUCAUUUUUGGAAUUAGGGUUUGGUACACUAAAUUCGUAGUAGUACAUGUAAAUCAUAUUUUUCAUAUCUAUGUAAACAUAAUUUGAUUAUAUUUUCAUGAUAUUUUAACGGGAAGGAAAAGCAAUGCUUAAAAUCAGACCAAGAUAUAUUUUAUAUGGGAAGAUUUGCACUCAAAACGUGUCUACAAAUUUGUCAUUAUUAUUUGAUAGAAUGUAUAAUAAAAAACGUUCAUGGGGGCUGCAAGUUAAACAUUAAAUUAACCAGGUUAAAGUUUAUUCUGGAACAGCACAUCUAAAGGAUCUAGAGCAACUGUUUCAGGCAAAUUAAAGUUAUUGAUUAAGUUAUGGAAGACACUUCAAUUUUACCAUUGAUAAACAUGAAGUCUGAGAAGUCUCGGCUGGAUCCAUCUUGAAUCGCAAUACAUUUGAAAACAAAUAUGAAACUUGAGCUGACAACUCUUAAAUUGAAAAAAGAUUUGAAGAGUACCUGAUGCCUCCAAUGUAAAAGCAGCCAAGGUUCCCGUAUGAAAGUGCUAUCAAAGAUAUGGACAGAAAGGGUCAAUUUCAUUACUAUUCAAUAUCCUGAUGUUUCUUUUGUUGGAAAAAUAAAUAAAGUAUUAAAAAUGAAUACACCAAACCAAGUGACAUUUAUGUUAGUUGGAAUAACAUUUUAAUUUAGAAUAAAAGUUCCAAAACUGUAGCAUCUUAUUAGUAGUUUUACAUAAAUGAAAGUAAGUGUGUUAAUAAUUCAAAAAUGAUUCCAACAGUUUAAUCAACUAUUAAAUUAUCAGGAGAUAAAGUAUGGUGGAAUGUGAGUAUGGAUUAGAUUUUCUGAUUCAUUAAGUAUCAAACUAGAAACAACGUUUUGUAUAAUUAGUAUCCAAGCAAGAUUUAUACUCAAAGAUCGUAAAAUUAAACCUCAUUUUGGAAAAUUUUAUCCAUUGUUUCAAAGGAUUUUUAUAAUCUGAAUGAAUUACUUCUUACUGAUUAGUAAUUUUAGCCAUCAUAUGUUCAGAAAAACAAUGGUUAUUCUAUAAGAAAUUCUUAAGGUAGAUUGUUUAGAAUUCAAUGUUUUUAAUGGUUUACUACUAUGGAGUCUGGUAUGUUUAUUUUAGAUAUAUUUUAGGGAUCAUCAUUACACCCUUUUUUUUUGUUAAAAGUAUCCUUCAUUUAUUUUUUUACAUUGGUUAUCAAGAAUUUACAAGAGGUAUAAUAUAUUUGGAAAACAACACUGCUGUGCAGUUUAGGAACCCUUUUUAUCUGUUUGUAGAAUAGUUGUUUACAUUAUAUUGAGGGUUUAAUACAGCUAACGAAAAAUGAAAAUGAACAUGCAGACCCUUCUUAGAUGCCUUUGUCUUUGUUCCAAGAAUUGUUUGUUUCAAAUAUAUUUUUUUUAUAUUUAUGAGAUUAUGUUCAACAAAAUUCUUAGAGAGAUAAGGACCCCCCUACACUAUGAGAAAUUUUGAAAUCACAGUAUUCUAGAUACACACUCGUAAUAAUACCAAAAUAACUAUACAUGUUGAGGAUUUAUUAUUGAUAACAAAAUUGACCAUGCAGCUCCUUUUUAGAUGCCUUUAUCUUUGUUGGUAGAAUUUCUUAUUUACUCCACAUUUCGAAUUUAUUUUUGAUAUUCAUGAGAAAAAUAACGUUUAAUAGAAUAUUUUUUGAUAUCGUUUGUCUAAUUUGGGGAUGAGGACCAUCCUACAUUAUGGGAGGUUUUAAAAUCACAGAAUUCUUAAUAUCAAGAUAACAAAAAUGUUUUGAUAUGGUCUUUAUACAUAUGCAGCUAAUUUUUUGGAACUUGGAAUAAAUUUCAGUAACAUUGUUUCAAAUUCUACAAUUCUUAAUUAAUAUAAAAAUUUUCAUGUACCUGUAAUAACUAAUGAAAGUACUAAUUCGAAAAACGAAGUUAUGUCGUAAAACAUUAAAAGUAUACAAAUUCCCAAAAAGAAAUUACUAUUAUUUGCUGCUCACAACCUAUACUUAUAUAGGCUUUUAAUAAUAUAAGUUAUUUUGAAUUGUAAUAAUUAAAUCUAUGCCAUGUUUUAUUGUAUGUAUUAUAUAUAUUAUCACGAAUUAUUUAAAACUUUCUUAGAAAUAUUAUUAAAAAUAUAUAUUGCUUUAUUUAUUUUAUCUUUGAAAACACUAUUUUAUUCAAUAUGGAAAUUAUAUAACAAAAUAUGUAAUAUUUAAUUACUUAUUAUUUAAUAAAUCAAAACUU